rnacentral:rRNA from 1 species
UCUAGUCUACAGCCAUCCUGAAUGUGCCUGAUCUCAUCUGAUCUAGGAAGCUAAGUAGGGUAGGGCCUGAUUAGUACUUGGACAGGAGAAAAAGUCUAGAAUAAAU